rnacentral:rRNA from 1 species
UACGUAGGCAGCGAGCGUUGUUCGGAAUUACUGGGCGUAAAGGGCGCGUAGGCGGCCUUCUAAGUCAGACGUGAAAUCCCCCGGCUUAACCUGGGAACUGCGUCUGAUACUGGAGGGCUUGAGUGCGGGAGAGGGAUGUGGAAUUCCAGGUGUAGCGGUGAAAUGCGUAGAUAUCAGGAGGAACACCAAUGGCGAAGGCAGCUCGCUGGGACGUGACUGACGCUGAGACGCGAAAGCGUGGGGAGCAAACAGG